GUCUACGGCCAUACCACGUUGAAAACACCGGUUCUCGUCUGAUCACCGAAGUUAAGCAACGUCGGGCCCGGUUAGUACUUGGAUGGGUGACCGCCUGGGAAUACCGGGUGUUGUAGACUUUU
rnacentral:rRNA from 1 species